rnacentral:hammerhead_ribozyme from 1 species
AACUAGCUGAUGAGUUCCAAACAGGACAAAACGCUCAUCCUAGUU